rnacentral:rRNA from 1 species
AGACUCCUACGGGAGGCAGCAGUGGGGAAUAUUGCACAAUGGGCGCAAGCCUGAUGCAGCGAUGCCGCGUGCGGGAUGAAGGCCCUAGGGUUGUAAACCGCUUUCAGUAGGGAAGAAAAUGACGGUACCUACAGAAGAAGGUGCGGCCAACUACGUGCCAGCAGCCGCGGUGACACGUAGGCACCAAGCGUUGUCCGGAUUUAUUGGGCGUAAAGAGCUCGUAGGCGGUUCAGUUAGUCGGGUGUGAAAACUCUGGGCUCAACCCAGAGACGCCACCCGAUACUGCUGUGACUAGAGUACGGUAGGGGAGCGGGGAAUUCCUGGUGUAGCGGUGAAAUGCGCAGAUAUCAGGAGGAACACCAGCGGCGAAGGCGCCGCUCUGGGCCGUAACUGACGCUGAGGAGCGAAAGCAUGGGUAGCAAACAGGAUUAGAUACCCUGGUAGUCCAUGCCGUAAACGUUGGGCACUAGGUGUGGGUCUCAACCAACGAGAUCCGCGCCGUCGCUAACGCAUUAAGUGCCCCGCCUGGGGAGUACGGUCGCAAGACUAAAACUCAAAGGAAUUGACGGGGGCCCGCACAAGAAG